AUUGAACGCUGGCGGCAUGCUUUACACAUGCAAGUCGAACGGUAACAGGCCUUCGGGUGCUGACGAGUGGCGAACGGGUGAGUAAUGCAUCGGAACGUGCCCAGAGGUGGGGGAUAACGCAGCGAAAGCUGUGCUAAUACCGCAUGUGAUCUGAGGAUGAAAGCGGGGGACCAAGCAGCAAUGUUUGGCCUCGCGCCUCUGGAGCGGCCGAUGUCAGAUUAGGUAGUUGGUGGGGUAAAGGCCUACCAAGCCGACGAUCUGUAGCUGGUCUGAGAGGAAGACCAGCCACACUGGGACUGAGACACGGCCCAGACUCCUACGGGAGGCAGCAGUGGGGAAUUUUGGACAAUGGGCGCAAGCCUGAUCCAGCAAUGCCGCGUGCGGGAAGAAGGACUUCGGGUUGUAAACCGCUUUUGUACGGAACGAAAAGGCUCUGGCUAAUACCUGGGGCUGAUGACGGUACCGUAAGAAUAAGCACCGGCUAACUACGUG
rnacentral:rRNA from 1 species